UAGUUAAAUUGUGUAUAAAUAGACUGCAAGUGACUGGCGAACUAAUGCCAAUUCUCUGUUGAAGCCAUCCAGUCGACAAUCAUUUCAUUUAAAAAAAAUGCGUUUUGAAAUUGUUUGUCUGUUGGUCUUGGCUGUGGUGUACGCCACAUCCGACGUAGCUCCCAAAAGCGAUAAAGAUCGAUUUCUAAUUGCCACCAAUAGCCUUUCUUUCACUACAUUCACCGUGCUGAAAAUAACCACAACGACUACAUCGACCUUUACAUCCACCACAACAUGCACAACCUCAUCGGCCGCGCUGACCACUUGCACUAUCGGCCGUCGUCGUCGUGGUCUCUUUUACGAUGAAGCCGCGUCCCAGGGCCGCAAUCGUCGUGGGCUCUUUUACAACGACGAAGAAGUCAACACCAAGGAUGGCAGCGCUUUCCUUCCUACUGACAAGAAGUCCAGCAACCCUGUUGCUGAGGUUGCCAACACUCGCGCUGAUGAAUCAUCCCUGAUUCCCUUGGAAAUUGAGGCCGGUUUCAAUUUGCCAGCAGUAGGACCCAACCGUUUCCUUUUGUCUUUCGGCACGUCCACAGUUACCAGCUUGGUCCUCACCACGUCGACCAUCAGCUUGACGGCCUUCUGCAGCAGCACAACUGGGGCUAGCGAUCCCGUAAAUGAAGUUCCGGCUUUCAAAACAGCCGCCACUGAUGAAGAACUCAUUCCGUUGGAAGUUCAGGCCGGUUUCUCUCUGCCUGCCGGACAAGAAGGCAACCGAUUCUUGUUGGCAUUUGGCACAUCGACCAUCACCAGCUUAUGUCAUGACAUCGAGUACCAUCAGCUUGACUGCCUUCUGCAGCAGCACCACUGGCUUUGCGCUGUGUGGAAACAUAGGAAAAUAAAAGAAGCAAUGGCUGAGUUUGUACUGCUCUCAAGCUGCUGAGCACAUUGGUCAGAACUCUUGCGUCAAUAUGAAUCAAAUCACGUUAUUUUCCGUGUUGCAAGAACUUUUAUCUUCCAGAACUCCAAUUUGUUGCUCCCGAUUUUCCCUACAGUACAUUCUAAGUUCCCAAUCUUAACCGUCACAAAAGCACUAUAUCCUGAAUACAUUUCUAUAUGUAGGGCUAAUGUCUUUGAAUUACCACUUGUUGUCGAUGAGGAAAUGUUCACGAAUAAUGUGAUAGUGAAAUUGUAAUUGUACUAAAGGAGUCCUGAUCUAUUUAUCCGCUCGAUAUCCACUUGUCUCUUCUCAUUUGAAUUACACACUUUAGCAGCAACACA